rnacentral:rRNA from 1 species
AGGAUGAACGCUGGCGGCGUGCCUAAGACAUGCAAGUCGAGUGGGUUUAGACCCACGGCGAACGGGUGAGUAAUACCUAGGAACUUUCUUUAAGUGGAGGAUAACCAGUCGAAAGAUUGGAUAAUACUUCAUGUGGCAGUAAUGCUAAAGUCGCAAGACGCUUAAAGUGAGGCCUGGGCACCAUCAGCUAGUUGGUAAGGUAAUGGCUUACCAAGGCUAUGACGGUUAGGGGUCCCGAGAGGGAUAACCCCCACACUGGAACUGCGACACGGUCCAGACCUCCUACGGGAGGCAGCAGUUUGGAAUUUUGGACAAUGGGCGAAAGCCUGAUCCAGCGACGCCGCGUGGACGAUGAAGGCCUUCGGGUCGUAAAGUCCUUUGCUCGGGAACAAUAUUUUGAGCGUACCGAGAGAAUAAGAGGUUGCUUAACUCUGCGCCAGCAGCCG